UACGUAGGGUGCAAGCGUUAAUCGGAAUUACUGGGCGUAAAGCGUGCGCAGGCGGUUGUGCAAGACCGAUGUGAAAUCCCCGGGCUCAACCUGGGAACUGCAUUUGUGACUGCAAGGCUAGAGUACGGCAGAGGGGGAUGGAAUUCCGCGUGUAGCAGUGAAAUGCGUAGAUAUGCGGAGGAACACCGAUGGCGAAGGCAAUCCCCUGGGCCUGUACUGACGCUCAUGCACGAAAGCGUGGGGAGCAAACAGG
rnacentral:rRNA from 1 species